UACGUAGGGGGCUAGCGUUGUCCGGAAUCAUUGGGCGUAAAGCGCGUGUAGGCGGUUCGGUAAGUCCGCUGUGAAAGUCGGGGGCUCAACCCUCGGAUGCCGGUGGAUACUGUCGGACUAGAGUACGGAAGAGGCGAGUGGAAUUCCUGGUGUAGCGGUGAAAUGCGCAGAUAUCAGGAGGAACACCGAUUGCGAAGGCAGCUCGCUGGGACGUUACUGACGCUGAGACGCGAAAGCAUGGGGAGCGAACAGG
rnacentral:rRNA from 1 species